rnacentral:rRNA from 1 species
GGUGAACGCUGGCGGCGUGCCUAAGACAUGCAAGUCGAGCGGGGCAGGUUUAUACCUGUUCAGCGGCGGACGGGUGAGUAACGCGUGGGUGACCUACCCGGAAGAGGCGGACAACCUGGGGAAACCCAGGCUAAUCCGCCAUGUGGUCCUGUCCUGUGGGGCAGGACUAAAGGGUGGAUAGCCCGCUUCCGGAUGGGCCCGCGUCCCAUCAGCUAGUUGGUGGGGUAAAGGCCCGCCAAGGCGACGACGGGUAGCCGGUCUGAGAGGAUGGCCGGCCACAGGGGCACGGAGCCACGGGCCCCACUCCUACGGGGGGCAGCAGUUAGGAAUCUUCCGCAAUGGACGGAAGUCUGACGGAGCGACGCCGCUUGGAGGAGGAAGCCCUGCGGGGUGUAAACUCCUGAACUGGGGACGAAAGCCCUGUGUAGGGGGAUGACGGUACCCAGGUAAUAGCGCCGGCCAACUCCGUG